CCUACGGGAGGCUGCAGUGGGGAAUAUUGGGCAAUGGGCGCAAGCCUGACCCAGUAACGCCGCGUGAAUGAAGAAGGCUUUCGGGUUGUAAACUUCUUUUAAUAGGGAAGAGCAGAAGACGGUACCUCUUUAAUAAGCCACAGCUAACUACGUGCAAGCAGCCGCGGUAAUACGUAGGUGGCAAGCGUUGUACUGCUUCACUGGGAGUAAAGGGCCUGAAUUCGGGAAGACAAGUCUGAUGUGAAAUCCCGCGGCUCAACCGUGGAACGGCAUUUGAAACUGUUUUUCUUGAGUACAGGAGAGGACAUCGGAAUUCCUUGUGUAGCGGUGAAAUGCGUAGAUAUAAGGAAGAACACCAGUGGCGAAGGCGGAUGACUGGACGGCAACUGACGGUGAGGCGCGAAAGCGUGGGGAGCAAACAGGAUUAGAUACCCGAGUAGUC
rnacentral:rRNA from 1 species